CUACGGGCGGCUGCAGUGGGGAAUAUUACACAAUGGGCGCAAGCCUGAUGCAGCCAUGCCGCGUGUAUGAAGAAGGCCUUCGGGUUGUAAAGUACUUUCAGCGGGGAGGAAGGGAGUAAAGUUAAUACCUUUGCUCAUUGACGUUACCCGCAGAAGAAGCACCGGCUAACUCCGUGCCAGCAGCCGCGGUAAUACGGAGGGUGCAAGCGUUAAUCGGAAUUACUGGGCGUAAAGCGCACGCAGGCGGUUUGUUAAGUCAGAUGUGAAAUCCCCGGGCUCAACCUGGGAACUGCAUCUGAUACUGGCAAGCUUGAGUCUCGUAGAGGGGGGUAGAAUUCCAGGUGUAGCGGUGAAAUGCGUAGAGAUCUGGAGGAAUACCGGUGGCGAAGGCGGCCCCCUGGACGAAGACUGACGCUCAGGUGCGAAAGCGUGGGGAGCAAACAGGAUUAGAUACCCCCGUAGUC
rnacentral:rRNA from 1 species